rnacentral:rRNA from 1 species
GAUGAACGCUGGCGGCGUGCCUAACACAUGCAAGUCGAGCGAACCCUUCGGGGUGAGCGGCGGACGGGUGAGUAACGCGUGGGUAACCUGCCCUAUACACACGGAUAACGUACCGAAAGGUACGCUAAUACGGGAUAAAGUUGUUGGAUGGCAUCUUCUAACAAUCAAAGCUCCGGCGGUAUAGGAUGGACCCGCGUCUGAUUAGCUAGUUGGUGAGGUAAUGGCUCACCAAGGCGACGAUCAGUAGCCGACCUGAGAGGGUGAUCGGCCACACUGGAACUGAUACACGGUCCAGACUCCUAAGGGAGGCGGCAGUGGGGAAUAUUGCACAAUGGGCGAAAGCCUGAUGCAGCAACGCCGCGUGAGCGAUGAAGGUCUUCGGAUCGUAAAGCUCUGUCCUCAAGGAAGAUAAUGACGGUACUUGAGGAGGAAGCCUCGGCUAACUACGUGCCAGCCGCCGCCGUAA